GACGAACGCUGGCGGCGUGCUUAACACAUGCAAGUCGAGCGGUAAGGCCCUUUCGGGGGUACACGAGCGGCGAACGGGUGAGUAACACGUGGGUGACCUGCCCUCAGCUCUGGGAUAAGCCCGUAGGAACGUCGGUACUAAUACGGAUAUGACUCCAUGACGCAUGUUGUGGGGUGGAAAGCCUUGUGCGGCUGAGGAUGGGCCCGCGGCCUAUCAGCUUGUUGGUGGGGGAUGGCCUACCAAGGCGACGACGGGUAGCCGGCCUGAGAGGGCGACCGGCCACACUGGGACUGAGACACGGCCCAGACUCCUACGGGAGGCAGCAGUGGGGAAUCUUGCGCAAUGGGCGAAAGCCUGACGCAGCGACGCCGCGUGA
rnacentral:rRNA from 1 species